AGCAGGUGACCAUUGAGCAGAGAGCAUAAUCAGGUGAAGGAGUGAGCCACAAGAGCUGAGAACCAUGCGAAGACCUGCAGAAAGACCAUCUAAAAACCAAAGGAAGAGACUAAGCAAAUCCAGCCUAGUUUUGAAGACCACACCCUUACCCAGCAGUCAGGGAACCAAGGAGCCACGCUGAGGAUUGGAGAAAAGUCACCAGAAACACACUUUCUUCUAUUUGGGCAUGAAAUGAAGUUUGAUGGAUUCUAACUCUGAAAGGAAGAAUCAGAGGCAAGCAUUAAGAAAAUAAAUUAAUUUGUAAAGAACUUCUGGCUUAUCAAAUAAAAACAUAACAGUUACUUAAAGUAAAGCCCUCCAAAAUGACCAAUUUGACAGUUA
rnacentral:lncRNA from 1 species